UACGUAGGUGACCAGCGUUGUCCGGAUUUACUGGGCGUAAAGAGCGCGCAGGCGGUCGUUCAAGUCGAGUGUGAAAGCCCCCGGCUCAACUGGGGAGGGUCAUUCGAUACUGAUCGACUUGAAGGCAGGAGAGGGAAGUGGAAUUCCCGGUGUAGUGGUGAAAUGCGUAGAUAUCGGGAGGAACACCAGUGGCGAAGGCGACUUCCUGGCCUGUUCUUGACGCUGAGGCGCGAAAAGCUAGGGGAGCAAACGGG
rnacentral:rRNA from 1 species